AGCAUAUCAAUAAGCGGGAGGGAAAAGAAACUAACAAGGAUUCCCCUAGUAACUGCGAGUGAAGCGGGAAAAGCUCAAAUUUAAAAUCUGGCAGUCUUUGGCUGUCCGAGUUGUAAUCUAGAGAAGUGCUAUCCGCGCUGGACCGUGUACAAGUCUCCUGGAAUGGAGCGUCAUAGAGGGUGAGAAUCCCGUCUUUGACACGGACUACCAGGGCUUUGUGAUACGCUCUCAAAGAGUCGAGUUGUUUGGGAAUGCAGCUCAAAAUGGGUGGUAAAUUCCAUCUAAAGCUAAAUAUUGGCGAGAGACCGAUAGCGAACAAGUACCGUGAGGGAAAGAUGAAAAGAACUUUGGAAAGAGAGUUAAACAGUACGUGAAAUUGCUGAAAGGGAAACGCUUGAAGUCAGUCGCGUUGUCCAGGGAUCAGCCUUGCUUUUGCUUGGCGCACUUUCUGGUUGACGGGUCAGCAUCAAUUUUGACCAUUGGAAAAAGAUUAGAGGAAUGUGGCAUCUUCGGAUGUGUUAUAGCCUUUAGUUGUAUACAAUGGUUGGGAUUGAGGAACUCAGCACGCCGAAAGGCCGGGUUUUUAACCACGUACGUGCUUAGGAUGCUGGCAUAAUGGCUUUAAUCGACCCGUCUUGAAACACGGACCAAGGAGUCUAACAUGCCUGCGAGUGUUUGGGUGGAAAACCCGAGCGCGUAAUGAAAGUGAAAGUUGAGAUCCCUGUCGUGGGGAGCAUCGACGCCCGGACCAGACCUUUUGUGACGGUUCCGCGGUAGAGCAUGUAUGUUGGGACCCGAAAGAUGGUGAACUAUGCCUGAAUAGGGUGAAGCCAGAGGAAACUCUGGUGGAGGCUCGUAGCGAUUCUGACGUGCAAAUCGAUCGUCAAAUUUGGGUAUAGGGGGCGAAAGACUAAUCGA
rnacentral:rRNA from 1 species